rnacentral:tRNA from 1 species
GCCUUCGGGGUGUAGUGGUGAGCACGCUCGACUCAUAACCGAGAAGGCCGUGGUUCGAUUCAAAGCGAAGGCG